GAGCUCCAGGCCACGUACAACUGCAGUCCCGGUUCCCCGCCAGCAGCACAACCUGUGUGAGAGCACAGGGUAUCUGGGCAGAAGGAAAACUAGGGGAGCCUCAUCCAGCGCUAGAGAUGGAGAAGCUUUGGGCUCCUCGAAGGCGAGGCACCCGGGAACGGGGAGUCACUUAGAACCUCAAAGUAGCCUCGGACGGGAACAAGCAAAGCAAUUCCAAGCUCUACCAGGGCACGGAGGGCGCGAAACCCGCCCCGCGCACCGGCCGGCCGGCAGGGGGCGCGCGCUCCCCGAGCUCCCGCGCACCGCGGAGAGGGCGGCCCUGGCGCGGAGAAGCAGUGAGAAAAUAGCAUGGAAGCCGGUGCACGUGCCGUAUGUGACUUGGCUUGGCUUCUCCUGAAAGCAGCGGCUGUGGGGAGUUGAUUCGGAAGUGAAGCGCCCUGGGCGACCCGGCGAGUGGAGCCAACACCAACCUCCUCCUUAGCGAGGGGUCUCCCCGCCGCGGUGGCUGCCCGGCCCCAAGGACGGGAGGGAUUUGUGCACUGACUCCUGACCCCGUCCUCCGGCGCUGCUCUGAAGGGAGAGUCUGUGCAGUGGCACCUGCGCGAAGCUGGCCAAAGCCUGCCCAGACUGCUCACCUGUGCGGGAUGGAAUAAAAGGUGAGCCCAGGGGGCCUGAUAAAAUGACCUCAGCAGCCGCCUGUGGGAAGGGACCCUGAGGAAAGCACCACAGUGACUACCAAGCCUGGAUGGUUUUACUGCUUAGUUUUUUAUUUUAUUUUAUUUAUUUAUUUUAGAGACGGAGUCUCGCUCUGUCACCCAGGCUGGAGUGUGGAGCGCAGUGGCCCGAUCUCGGCUCACUGCAACCUCUGCCUCCCCGGUUCAAACAAUUCUGCCUCACUCUCCCGAGUAGCUGGGAAUACAGAUGCACUCUGCCACGCCUGGCUAAUUUUUGUGUUUUAGUAGGGACAGAGUUUCACCGUGUUGCCCAGGCUGGUCUCAAACUACUGAGCUUCGGCAAUCUGCCCACCUCGGCCUCCCAGAGUGCUAAUAUUGCAGGCAUGAGCCACUGCCCCUGGCUUUUUACUUUAUUUUUUGGACAGGCAGGGCAUGGUGGCUCACGCCCGUAAUCCCAGCACUUUGGGAGGCCGAGGCCAGUGGAUCAUGAGGUCAGGAGUUCAAGACCAACCUGGCCAAGAUAGUGAAACACUGUCUCCACUAAAAAUAUAGAAAAAAUAGCCAGGCAUGGUGGCGGGCGCCUGUAAUCUCAGCUACUCAAGAGGCUGAGGCAGAGAUUUGGUUGAACCUGGGAGGCAGAGUUUGCAGUGAACCGAGAUUGCACCACUGCACUCCAGCCUGGGUGACAGAGUGAGACUCUGUCUCAAACAAAACAAAACAAAUUUUUUUAAAGAUAAAAAUAAUUAACCAGGUGUGGUGGUGCGUGUCUGUAGUCCCAGCUACUUGGAAGGCUGAGCCAGGAGAAUUGCUUGAGCCUAGGAGUUUGAAUUGCAGUGAGCUAUGAUCAUGCUACUGCACUUAGCCUGGGCAACAGAAUGAAGCCCCAUCUUUAAAAAAAAAAAAAAGGACAUGAAUUGGAUUGUGUCACUUGAACCUUCAGUGGUUGCCCUCCAAGUAGAAUCGGCUCCCUCCCUGUCCAGCUUGGGGGCUGCUGCUCCAGGCCCUUGGCCUCUUAGCCUCAAAGCCUGCUUCCCGCUGCCUGACCAGGCCCUAUCACCUGCCAAAUCCCAGGUUACGCAUCACUUUCUCAGCAACUCUCCCCAACUCCCAAAUAGCUCCCAAUUAGGGGCUCUCACUGUAGUGCAUAGCGCUUGCUGAAACUCGUAGCUGUGGACUGGAUUGUAAAAUUACUCAUUUUUCUUCAUCUCCGUGCUGGAUUCUAAGCUUCUCCAGGAAACGGAUCUUUUCUCCUCUGAUCAUCCCAGGGCCAGGCAAAUGGAAUGUACUUGAACAUUCACUGGAUGGACAAAUGCGUGAAAUGAAGACACAAAUGCAGAGCUAGUAAGCAGUGGGCCAAGCAUCCUUCCAAAUGGAGAAUGAAAUGAUGAAGACUCGGGCCAGGUGUGGUGGCUCACACCUGUAAUCCCAGCACUUUGGGAGGCCAAGGCGGGCAGAUCACCUGAGUUCGGUAAUUGGAAACCAGCCUGACCAACAUGUAGAAACCCCAUCUCUACUAAAAAAUACAAAAUUACGAAAUUAGCAGGGCGUGGUGGCACACGCCUGUAAUCCCAGCUACUUAGGAGGCUGAGGCAGGAGAAUCACUUGAACCAAAGAGGUGGAGGUUGCGGUGAGCCAAGAUCACGCCAUUGCACUCCAGCCUGGGCAACGAGCGAAACUCGAUUAAAAAAAAAAAAGGAAGGAAGGAAAGAAAAGGAAAGAAAGAGAGAGAGAAAGAAAGAAUGAGAAAAGAAAGGAAGAAAGAAAAGAAAAACAAGGAAAGAAAGGAAGAAAGGAAAGUAAGAAGGAAAGAAAGGAAGAAAGGAAAGAAAGACAGAAAAAAGGAAAGAAAAAAGAAAAAAGCAAGAUUAUGAAGACUCAAAAAUGUAAGGAGCGGCUGGGCAUGGUGGCUCACGCCUGUAAUCUCAGCGCUUUGGGAGGCCAAGGCAGGUGGAUCACAAUGUCAGGAGAUGGAUACCAUCCUGGCUGACACAAUGAAACCCCGUCUCUACUAAAAAUCCAAAAAUAAUUAGCCGGACAUGGUGGCAGGUGCCUGUAGUCCCAGCUAUUUGGGAGGCUGAGGCAGGAGAAUGGCGUGAACCCGGGAGGUGGAACUUGCAGUGAGCCGAGAUGGAGCCACUGCACUCCAGCUUGGGUGAUAAAGUGAGACUGUCUCAAAACAAACAAACAAACAAACAAAAAGGCUGGGCGUGGUGGCUCACGCCUGUAAUCCCAACACUUCCGGAGGCUGAGGCGGGUGGAUUACCUGAUGUCAGGAGUUCAACACCAGCCUGACCAACAUGGUGAAAUCCCAUCUCUACUAAAAAUACAAAAAUUAACUGGGCACGGUGGCUCACGCCUGUAAUCCCAGCACUUUGGGAGGCUGAGGCAGGUGGAUCAUGAGGUCAAGAGAUUGAGAUCAUCCUGAUCAACAUGGUGAAACCCUGUCUCUACUAAAAAUACAAAAAAUUAACUGGGCGUGGUGGCAGGUGCCUGUAGUCCCAGCUACUCUGGAGGCUGAGGCUGGAGAAUCGCUUGAAUACAGGAGCUGGAGGUUGCAGUGAGCCGAGAUCGCGCCACUGCACUCCAGCCUGGCGACAGAGCAAGACACCGUCUCAAAAAAAAAAAAAAAAAAAAAUUAGCCGGGCGUGGUGGGGCGGGAAUCCCACCUACUCGGGAAGCUGAGCCUGGGCAGCAAGAGCGAGACUCCGUCUCAAAAAAACAAAAAAGAUAUUUGAUUUGGCUUUACACAGUGAGUGACCUGGCUGAAGCCUUGGGAGGUUCGCACCGGAAAGUUCAAAACCAGCCGCCUGUGUUGUCGGCCUGAAGGAGGCGCGCGGCGUGAACCGGAGAGGACGUGCUCGGGUCCCUCCCCAGGUGGCCGUCAGGCAGACCCUUCUCCUCAGCCGACGGCCGGACACUGGGGACGCCUUUGUUUCUGCCGCUCAUGGUGUCUGAAUCCACAAUUUGUUUACGUGGUUGUGGAGCUGGACUCGGGGUCGGAAGGACAGUCUCCUUCAACACAACAGUGGGGCUCCAGCGAAGGCCGAGAGACGCGGGGAUCCCAGCUGGGAGGGCGGACCGCACUGCCUGGCCGUGGCGGGGGAGGGGGAGAUACCCCAUAUCCAGGCUCUAACCGAGACUCCCUUUUCUUAAGUCUCCGCAGCUUGCAGUGCACCACCCGAGCAUGUCCCGGAGGCGGCCGAUGCUGUUUAUCACUCAGAAAUGUAAAGUUUGUUUGAGAGGGGGUCUCCUCACUUUGCCUAGGUUGGAGUUAAGGGGCGCGAUCUCAGCUCACUGCAUCCUCCACUUCCUGGGCUCAAGUGAUCCUCCCACCUCAGCUUCCUGAGUAGCUGGAACUACAGGCAUGUGCCACCAGGCCUGGCUAAUAUUUAAAAAAAAAUUUUUUUUUGAGGUCUCGCUCUUAUUGCCCAGGCUGGAGUACAGUGGCAUGAUCUCGGCUCAUCACAACGUCCUCUUCUUGGGUUCAAACAAUUCUCCUGCCUCAGCCUCCUGAGUAGCUGGGAUUACAGGCCUACGCCACUGCACCUGGCUAAUUUUUUGUAUUUUUAAUAGAGGCGGGGUUUCACCAUGUUGGCCAGGCUGGUCUUGAACUCCCGACCUCAGGUAAUUUGCCUGCCUCGGCCUCCCAAAGUGCUAGGAUUACAGGUGUGAGCCACCGCACCCAGCAUGUUUUUAACUUUUUGUAGAGAUGGGUGCCUCAAUAUGUUGCCCAGGCUGGUCUUGAACUCAUGACCUCAGGUGAUGUGCCUGCCUUGGCCUCCCAAAGUACUGGGAUUAUAGGCGUGAGCCACCACACGGAAACUAGAUCAUUUUUUCUCAACUUUUUUUUUCAUGAUCACCAUCUUAAAGAUCCUUUCUAGCUCUUUUUUCCUAGUUUCCCACCACAUGACAUUUUAAUAACAUAGAUAUACCGUAACGUAUAUCUUUUUAUGUCCUGUGGCCCUUUGGAAGGCAACAAACCAUUACGUUACCUAAGAUUUAUUUCCUUCCCCCUCACAGCCUCCCCAUCCCACUACCCCCAUGCAAUCAUACCACAAUUUAUUCCAUACUUUAUUAGACAUUAAGUUGUUUUCUAAAGCUUCCCUAUUUCAUGCUGCUAUGAACAAUCGUGUAAUUAAAUCAGUGCAAAAGUA